rnacentral:lncRNA from 1 species
AGUGUUCUUUCUUGGAACCAUCUGCCAAGCUGUGAGGAAGCUCCAGAGCCAUAUGACAAGACCUGAUGGAGGAUAACUGAGGACUUUGGCCAACAACCCCAGCUGAGCUCCAGUUGGAAUGUGAAUGAGGCCAUUUUGAGUGUUCCAGCCUAUUGGAGCCCUAGCCAACACUCUACAAACUAGAACUGCCUGAUUGACCCGCAGAAUCAUAAGAAAUAAAGUAAUUUGAAGGCCUUCCCUGACUUAAAGUGGAUGCUGCUUUGGAAAGCACUGGAAAAAUGGAUCCUGUCUUUCUUAGCCAAGGACUGGUCUCUUUUCUCCAAUGUGUCCCUAACAGAGUGGUGAGGCUGGCUCUUCCCACCAGUACAGCUCUGUUUCUGGCAGGAAUCUGACACCACUUACUCCUUGGGUAGAAACUCCCCCAAGUCUGAACUAUGUGAUUGCCUGAGCCCUGCUUCUUGUUCAUUAAGACUGCUCCUCUGAAACGGAAUUGAUGAAUUUUUAGUGGCUAUUAGAAGCAUUUGGGAUCCAUAGGCAUCAGGGUUUGAUGCAUGGCCCUCAUCUCUGUGGGCUCCUGUGCAAUGAUUCUCAUCUGUCUUAGUUAGAAAGUGAAUUAAUCUUGACCUUGGCCUCAGGGGUGUGGUUCUCUGCCCUCUUACACAUCUUCAAUUCGCUUCUUUAUCAGAAGCACUUGUUUUAGGCCCAGGCUCCCCCAAUUUUAAUGACAUUUAGACAUUUGUCUUUAAGUUACAUUGCUUUGAUUUUAAUCAAAAUCUAUAUUUCUAGUAUUAUAUGUUUCCAGAAAGUUCUCAUUCUGGAUUGUAAUUUAAUUACAUGGAUCAUUAAAGCUUUGAAGGAUGCUAAUGGGCAGAAAAAAGAGACUUAACAAAACGAAAGUUAUUAUUAGGAAUUACAAAUCACUUAACAUUUCAACAUCACUCGUCGGAUGUGGGCAUUUUGUUGAAAGAGACCUUGUUUUGAACAGUGACAGUGCAGAAGACCUAUGGAAGAAACAAGCUUCCAACUUGAUUUCUAUUGUUAUGCAUGCAUAGCAAAUUAUUAAUUCUAUUCUAAU